CCCCAAAAACGUAGUCCCAGUUCGGACUGCAGUCUGCAACUCGACUGCACGAAGUCGGAAUUGCUAGUAAUCGCGGAUCAGCAUGCCGCGGUGAAUACGUUCCCGGGCCUUGUACACACCGCCCGUCACACCAUGAGAGUCGGGAACACCCGAAGUCGGUAGUCUAACCUCGUGAGGACGCCGCCGAAGGUAGGCUUGAUAAUUGGGGUGAAGUCGUAACAAGGUAAC
rnacentral:rRNA from 1 species